UUACUGGGCGUAAAGAGCUCGUAGGUGGUUUGUCGCGUUGUUCGUGAAAUCUCACGGCUUAACUGUGAGCGUGCGGGCGAUACGGGCAGACUUGAGUACUGCAGGGGAGACUGGAAUUCCUGGUGUAGCGGUGGAAUGCGCAGAUAUCAGGAGGAACACCGGUGGCGAAGGCGGGUCUCUGGGCAGUAACUGACGCUGAGGAGCGAAAGCGUGGGGAGCGAACAGGAUUAGGUACCCUGGUAGUCCACGCCGUAAACGGUGGGUACUAGGUGUGGGUUUCCUUCCUUGGGAUCCGUGCCGUAGCUAACGCAUUAAGUACCCCGCCUGGGGAGUACGGCCGCAAGGCUAAAACUCAAAGAAAUUGACGGGGGCCCGCACAAGCGGCGGAGCAUGUGGAUUAAUUCGAUGCAACGCGAAGAACCUUACCUGGGUUUGACAUGCACAGGACGCCGGCAGAGAUGUCGGUUCCCUUGUGGCCUGUGUGCANGUGGUGCAUGGCUGUCGUCAGCUCGUGUCGUGAGAUG
rnacentral:rRNA from 1 species